GUGCUCGCUUUGGCAGCAUAUAUGAUAAAAUUGGAAUGAUGCAGAGAUUAGCAUGACCCCUGCACGAGGAUGACACGCAAAUUAGUGAAGCGUUCCAUGUUUUU
rnacentral:snRNA from 1 species